rnacentral:lncRNA from 1 species
UCCCACCCCACAUCCCCAUGGUAGUACUUGCUUAAUACAACAGUUGAGAACAAGGAACAGUGACAACAUCAUUUCAAACCUGCUGGUCCGUACAACAUAGAGGUCUAAACAAGCAUGAUCUUCUAACAUUUUUGGCUAUUAAUCUUCCCAUUGACUCCAAAUGAUUCCAUACGUCACUAAUACAUGACAAGAUAGGACGCUAAAGUCUAUAGAUUUUAAUGACCCAACAGAUAAAAGAUAGAAUAAAGCACCAGAAUUAUGGGUCGUUUAAACUUAUUAAGUCUAUUAAACUAUGUUCUGGAAAAAAUAAGCCUUUCAUGCUGCUAUGUUCUAUUUUAAAACUCUUAUACUUAAAAAAUGUUGUACAAAACAAGGAACUAUCCUUCUGAAUUUUGAAAGCAAACUAUUGUUGAUGCUGGUUACUCUCAUUUUCAGUUACUACUUUCCCCAAUUCAGCCAUUAGUGUGUGACAACUAAAAACUCUCGCUAGAGUUAAAAAGUCCAUACCUGGUUGAAGCUACUCGACAUACCAAUAGCACUAUAGAAGCUAACAAAAUUCCCAUGCCAAUAACACUGUAGAAGCUCCUCAACAUGCUGUUGGAUUCUUUCUCCUACCUGUAAUACUUUAGCAAUAUGACUGUUUG